UCAGAUAUUUCUGCUUUUUCAAAACUGCCAGGCACUUGCCGGAACUUACCAUUUCACCCUCUUCAGAGAAUGGUUCAGAAGCCCUGGAUCUUACAUUGUGUCUCCCAUGCAGGCAGAUCAGUCAGCUGAUGCUGCCUGAGCAUUGAGAGGACAUCACGCUAGGAGGUCUAUGAAUAACUUCUCGUUUCAUCUUCGCAACAAUCCUGGGAGACGGGAAUUGCCACCAUUCGUACCUCUGGACACGGAGACUGAAAGCUGGAGAGGUGAGAGACCAAGCACCUCCGACGGAGAAGGCCGGAGAAAAGGUGCUGGAGGAGAUGAACAGUCUGCGGGCCAAGGCGCUCAACCCACACCUGAUUCUAGAGUAAAAGUCACCACAGGGUCAGGUCCUGUCCUGCGCUUUCUGCAAGUCACUGCGGUCCUCUGUGUCCGUUUA
rnacentral:lncRNA from 1 species